UAUGUUGGUUUUCUCAUGGGGCGGCUCAUAUAUCUUGUCUUAAGUAAUCUUUAGAAAUCUAUAUCGGGUCUCCGACUCACUUCACCUCCAUAUAGGAUGCAGAACAUGUGUCCUGUGAGAGAAAUUUUAGAAAAUCGUUGGCUGUACCAAACUUCGCGCAAAACUUCUAAAGAGGCACUCCAUCAUAAAACUAGGAAGGUGGGUCUAAAAUGAAACUACAAUCACAAUUUUGCAAAUUUUAAAUAUAUAACGGUCAACGACUUAGCGGACAUCAUAACAUGUGCCUUUGCUGUUGGUCUGUUGUCAGGCUUAAGUUGUGUGCUUUAACCUCUCAAUGAAGGCCGUUAUUGAUUUGGUAGUCAAAAGACGUAAUGCUCUUGGAGAUAAGAAAUGUUUACGAAUUUGAGAACGAUAAUGCGUAUAUUAAGUUAAUUAGAGCCACGGGAAAUUGUAAGAUAUAUCAAUUUGAAUGACACCAUCUAGAUUUCAUUCGGUGUUGUAGAUUUGUUUUGCAAAAAGAGCUGUUAAAUACUCUUCAUAUACUUUUAUACUAUAUAAUUUGAAUAGUGCUAUAAUUGGAUCUAUAACGGCGACCGAGAACAGUUAUCGUGAUAAAGAACACUCAGAUAAAGUAAACGGCAUUACGAACUAUUCUUUAUUAUAUAUAGACGGAUAGCUCAGUGGUUUGCACACCGGCCUUCCAAUCCUGAGGUCGGGGGUUCGAUCCCCGGCAGCUACUCGGGAAUUUUCAGAAACGCUUUUUAGUGUUUCCCAUCAGUGGUAUACACUGGGCACGUAAAAGAACCAGGCUGUCUAUUCGAAACGAGCUAGGCUAAAUUAGCCGGACAAGCCUGUAUCUGAUCUCUCUGUCGUGGGGGCUUUGUCUCACUCUGUCCCUCUGGUCAGAUCGCUCUGUGUCUGUGCUAGUAGAGGAUGAAUUAUGCGCCCUGUGUGGCUGCAUUUGAAUUAUAUAAAGCGCCUUUGAACGUGAAAUUAAUCAUGAAAAGGGCGCUAUAUACAUCUGGUAUAAUAAUAAUAAUAAUAAUAAUAAUUAUAUUUGGCGGGAAUUGGACACGAUUUAUCCGUGCAAUAUUUAUUUUUAUAGGGAAUCGAUCCUACCGAUUUUCGUCGCUUUGCGGAUCGAAUCCCACUACGGUAACAUACGAGGUAAUCCAAACAACACAUACUAUCCAAAUAAAAAAAGACUGUGACUUGGAGCGCCGGUAUAAAUUACAGACUCUGGUACAUACCGGAUUAACUAAAUUUGAACGAAAAUAUCUUAAAUGUAUAUAUUUUAUAACAAUGAUGAUACUAACCCUAAGCUUUAGUCAGUAUUUUAUGCAUAUGGUACACUAAAUGCAUGCGGACAUGCAAAAAUAUGCAUAUUUUUGCCGUGCACUACAAUUGAUAAUCACUUUCGGGCAUGCGCAGAAGACCGCUCCAAGUCUGCAUUGAGUUACAUCGAUAAAAAAUAUGGAGUUCCGGUUUAGACCACGGGCGUGCGAAGACCCCGAAGAAAUUCGGGAUAUCACGGUCUUCGUUAAUGUUAAUAAGCGUCCGUCAGAUCAGUAGGCCAAACGCAAUAUCCGCACAAUAAGAUGUCUGCGACACGAAAGAAUAUUCAAAGUAAGCUGUUAAUUUUGUUGCGUCACAAGCUAAUCAGCCGGUAACAUGACUACACUGAUAUAUUUGUGAUACAAACAUGUUUUAUUCAUUACUGAAUAGCAUUUUUAAACGGCGACAUUUUGAACAUUUUUAGCUUUACAUUGAUUUACAGUGAGAGUAGAUACAGUUACACUGGCGCCGACAUUUUGAAAAUUUGAGAAAACAAAAAACUUUAUCUUAUCCAACGAGGUCUUCAGCUCGGAGAAUGAGAGAAUAGAUUAACCUUGGUGUCGCUUUUCACUUCGUAUUUUAAUUCCUUUCCGGUACAUUAAUUUCUUGGAACUUCUCUGUUACUAAGCCUAUAUUGAAUUUUUAAAAUUAAGAAAUCCGUGAUUUUACUUGCAGGCAUGACUGAUUAAUGGAAUUAUUUUACUUUUAUAUAGAAUAUGGAUGGCACUCCAGUACAGCAUGUGCAUGGUUGGACCUGCUGACAUUUUUAGAAACGCAUCUUGGUCUAUUAUACAAAGUAUUGUUGUACUGCUCCAAUGUGCUUGUUGACAGACUGAAACCACUUGCUAGCAGCUCAUAAGGUUUACUUCUUGAGAGCAGGCAGCUACAAAAUGGAAGGUCAACAAAACCAGUAUACUUGAAAAGCAAGAAAGAAACACCAGAAAAUAUGAAAAGACAGGAGAACAAGAGAACUUGAAUAAAAAAAAAACUUUUAAAGAUAGGAAUUCAGGAUUUACUUGGAAACUAAAUUUACUUUGAGAACAGCAGUGAUUGACUAAGCUCUGUUACUUUAAGAGAUAAAGUAUUAUUAUCACAUUGGUUUUGUUAUGCUCAUAAAACAUACUAAAGUUUCAUUGAUCUUAUUUUAGAUAAUUGUUUUCUGGUUUAUUUGGUAAAGGUUGUCUACUAAUUAACAUAGUUAUAUUUUAAGUAAUAUUUUCCAUGAAAUUUUAAAGAGAAUGUUUUGUUAUACACCCAUGUAGUAAGCUUGUCUGUCUUUCAGUCAGUUGGUUUUCAUGGUUUCGGGAUAAUAACUCGUGAAAAUCUUGACCGAUUUAAAUAUUUUUUUGGUAC